rnacentral:rRNA from 1 species
GCAUAUCAAUAAGCGGAGGAAAAGAAACCAACAGGGAUUGCCCCAGUAACGGCGAGUGAAGCGGCAACAGCUCAAAUUUGAAAUCUGGCCCUCGGGUCCGAGUUGUAAUUUGGAGAGGAUGCUUUUGGCGCGGCGCCGUCCGAGUUCCUUGGAACAGGACGCCAUAGAGGGUGAGAGCCCCGUACGGGCGGCCGCCUAGCCUUUGUAAAGCUCCUUCGACGAGUCGAGUAGUUUGGGAAUGCUGCUCAAAAUGGGAGGUAAAUUUCUUCUAAAGCUAAAUACCGGCCAGAGACCGAUAGCGCACAAGUAGAGUGAUCGAAAGAUGAAAAGCACUUUGAAAAGAGGGUUAAAAAGUACGUGAAAUUGUUGAAAGGGAAGCGCCUGUGACCAGACUUGCGACCCGUGGAUCAUCCGGUGUUCUUCACCGGUGCACUCCGCGGGCUGCAGGCCAGCAUCGGUUUUUCUAGGGGGAUAAAGGUCGCGGGAACGUAGCUCCCUCGGGAGUGUUAUAGCCCGUGGCGUCAUGCCUCUGGGGAGACCGAGGACCGCGCUUCGGCAAGGAUGCUGGCGUAAUGGUCACCGGCGACCCGUCUUGAAACACGGACCAAGGAGUCAAGCAUUGGGGCGAGUGUCUGGGUGCCAAACCCGCACGCGAAAUGAAAGUAAACGCAGGUGAGAGCUUCGGCGCAUCACCGACCGAUCCUGAUGUCUUCGGAUGGAUUUGAGUAAGAGCCUUACCGCUUGGACCCGAAAGAUGGUGAACUAUGCCUGUAUAGGGUGAAGCCAGAGGAAACUCUGGUGGAGGCUCGCAGCGGUUCUGACGUGCAAAUCGAUCGUCAAAUAUGGGCAUGGGGGCGAAAGACUAAUCGAACCAUCUAGUAGCUGGUUACCGC